AUUGAACGCUGGCGGCAUGCCUUACACAUGCAAGUCGAGCGGCAGCGCGGGCUUCGGCCUGGCAGUGAGUGGCGAACGGGUGAGUAAUGCAUGGGAACGUGCCCAGUAGUGGGGGAUAGCCCGGCGAAAGGCGGAUUAAUACCGCAUACGACCUGAGGGUGAAAGCGGGGGAUCGAAAGACCUCGCGCUAUUGGAACCGCCGAUGUCGGAUUAGCUAGUUGGUGGGGUAAAGGCUUACCAAGGCGACGAUCCGUAGCUGGUCUGAGAGGACGACCAGCCACACUGGCACUGAGACACGGCCCAGCCUCCUACGGGAGGCAGCAGUGGGGAAUUUUGGACAAUGGGGGCAACCCUGAUCCAGCCAUGCCGCGUGCGGGAAGAAGGUCUUCGGUUUGUAAACCGCUUUUGUUCGGGAGGAAGUCCUCUGGACUAAUACCCCGGGGGGAUGACGGUACCGGAAGAAUAAGCACCGGCUAACUACGUG
rnacentral:rRNA from 1 species